AAAAUGGUUGGCUAGGGUUCCGAUUCACUGAAAAGUGAACGCCUGGACCGAGAGCUGACGACCUCUAGUUGAGGUUACACGGCGGGAUAAAAGCCCGGGAGAC
rnacentral:sRNA from 1 species